rnacentral:tRNA from 1 species
GCCUUUUUGGUGUAACUGGAAGCACAUCCAGCUUGCAAUCGGAAGGUCCGAAAUUCGAGUUCCGGUGAAGGCA